rnacentral:lncRNA from 1 species
UUUCAAUAGGUUCUUUGACAAUGUCACUAAUAAGGAUAGUCCAUUGCCUUCAAAUGUUCAGCAAGGUUCAAAUGUGAGUGAUGAAAAAACCAGUCAUACUAGAGUGGAUAUUACAGAUUUGAUUAGAGAAUCAAAUGAGUUGCGUGUUGUAUCACAAGAUGUGAAAUUGAGCCUUCAAGAAUUGGAUGAACUUUAUGUCAUCUUUAAGAAAGAGCUGUUUUUAUCUUGUUAUUGGUGUUUGGGUUGCCCAGUAUUGAAGCAUCAUGACCCCAGUCUGCCAUAUUUGGAACAGUAUCAGAUUGACUGCCAGCAGUUCAGAGCGUUGUAUCACUUGUUGAGUCCCUGGGCUCAUUCUGCAAAUAAAGACUCACUAGCUUUAUGGACAUUCAGAUUGUUAGAUGAAAACUCUGAUUGCCUUAUAAACUUCAAAGAAUUCUCCUCUGCAAUUGACAUAAUGUACAAUGGAAGUUUUACUGAGAAGCUUAAGCUGCUUUUUAAGCUACAUAUUCCUCCAGCUUACACUGAAGUGAAAUCUAAGGAUGCUUCAAAAGGAGAUGAACUUUCCAAGGAAGAAUUACUUUAUUUCAGUCAGCUGCAUGUUUCCAAGCCUGCAAAUGAGAAGGAAGCAGAAUCAGCAAAACACAGCCCUGAAAA